GCUCCGGUGGCCUAAUGGUUAGAGCGUCCGCCUCGGAUGCGGGAAGUCGCGAGUUCGAACCACGGCUGAAUCA